UGCUUUACACAUGCAAGUCGAGCGGCAGCAUAGGGGCAACCCUGAUGGCGAGCGGCGGACGGGUGAGUAAUACAUCGAGACGUACCUAAUAGUGGGGGAUAACCCAUCGAAAGAUGGGCUAAUACCGCAUAAUCUCUGAGGAGGAAAGAUGGGGACCAGAAAUGGCCUGUUGCUAUAAGAGCGGUCGAUGGUCGAUUAGCUAGUUGGUGUGGUAAAGGCCCACCAAGCCUGCGAUCUGUAGCUGGUCUGAGAGGAUGAUCAGCCACAUCGGGACUGAGACACGGCCCGAACUCCUACGGGAGGCAGCAGUGGGGAAUUUUGGACAAUGGGCGCAAGCCUGAUCCAGCCAUGCCGCGUGCAGGAUGAAGGCCUUCGGGUUGUAAACUGC
rnacentral:rRNA from 1 species